rnacentral:snRNA from 1 species
UUGCUCAUUUCAGCAGCAUAUAUACUAAAAUUGGAAUGAUACAGAGAUUAGCAUGGUCCCUGUGCAAGGAUGACAAGCACCGUGCUAAUUUUCUUUCUUUCUUU